rnacentral:rRNA from 1 species
CUUGUACACACCGCCCGUCACACCACGGGAGUGGGUUGCACCAGAAGUAGCUAGUCUAACCUUCGGGAGGACGGUUACCACGGUGUGAUUCAUGACUGGGGUG